rnacentral:rRNA from 1 species
UACGUAGGGUGCAAGCGUUGUCCGGAAUUAUUGGGCGUAAAGAGCUCGUAGGCGGUCUGUCGCGUCGAAUGUGAAAACCCGGGGCUCAACCCCGGGCCUGCAUUCGAUACGGGCAGACUAGAGUUCGGUAGGGGAGUCUGGAAUUCCCGGUGUAGCGGUGGAAUGCGUAGAGAUCGGGAAGAACAUCAGUGGCGAAGGCGGUCUGCUGGGCCGUUGCUGACGCUGAGGCGCGACAGCGUGGGGAGCAAACAGG